UUUUGGGGCGGUGUUUACAGACUCUUCUUCUCUGCCUCCGCCCUGCUCUUGGCCCAGGCUUCGUUCCUCUUCUGUUUUCCAGCCAGACCCGGAAAAACGAAAACACAGCUCGGGGAGCCCCCACCAGCCAGCGCCUGUGCCAGCUCACCUCUGGCCAUGGUGCAGCUGCCUCCCGGUGCACACCGCGGCCAAGGCCAGCUCCACAUUCCUCCCUCACUCUCCCCACUUCACCGGAGACCGAGCCCUGCAUGCAGAGGAAGGGCCCCAGCUCCACAGACUGCCAGAGCCAGCUAGGUCCCUCCUCACCAAAAAUGGUGAGACAAGAUUUCUGCUGAGGAGCCCCAAGAAG
rfam:Tursiops truncatus cont1.187572, whole genome shotgun sequence.